rnacentral:rRNA from 1 species
UUGGAGGAACGUAUAGCGAAAGCUAGUUGCAUUUAAUUUAGCGAAAGCUAAACUGGUGCAGAAUUGAUUCUAUCAAAUAAAGUUCUAGACAGGUUAUGAUGAUGACAUUUCCUAUCUAUGUGUCUUGACCAAAUUACGUGCCAGCAGUCGCGGUAACACGUAGAAGACUAGUGUUAUUCAUCUUUAAUAGGUUUAAAGGGUACCUAGACGGUAAAUCCAGUCCAAAAAGGAUACUAAUUUGCUAGAGUUUAAUGUGAGGGGGCACUAAAGUACUGAUAAGUGUAGAGAUGAAAUUCUGUGAUACAAUAUAAGGACAGGUAAAGGCGAAAGCAUCUCAUUAUGUAAUAACUGACGUUGAGGGACGAAGGCUAGGAGAAGCAAAAAGGAUUAGAUACCCAAGUAGUCUUAGCAGAAAAUUAUGAAUGUCAUAGGAUGGAAAUAGUGGAUAACCAUUUUUUUUUCUAUAAAUGAAAGUGUAAGCAUUCCACCUCGAGAGUAAUUUGGCAACAUUGGAACUGAAAUCAUUAGACCGUUUCUGAAACAAGUAGUGAAGUAUGUUGUUUAAUUUGAUGGUCCGCAAAAAACCUUACCACAAUUUGAAUAGAAAUUUUUAUUUUUUACAAGCGCUGCACGGUUGUCUCCAGUUAAUGUCGUGAGAUCUUGGUUAGUUCCAUUAAAUUAACGUAAACCCUUACUUUAUUUAUAUAUAGAGUAGUUCACCGCUAGAUUGGAUGGAUAACAGGACUAGACA